GCGAAUAAGAUGAGGUUAUUGGGUUUAAACAAGGGCUUGGAUCCUGAUAGUGUGACGUAUAAUAUAUUGAUAUCAGGAUUUAAGAGGGAGGGUAAAAAGAUGGAAUCAGAAGCUCUGGUGGAUGAGAUGUUGGAUUUGGGGUUUAUUCCUGAUAUUGCUACUUAUAACAGGUUGAUGGAUGGACAAGCUAAAUCAAAAAGUUAAUUUUCUUUGCCCUUACUCUUUUCAAGUUGAGACUACUCAAUUUAUUGAUCCAUGUGUGGACAUGAUGACAUGCAUAUUAGAAGCACCGAUGGAGAAAAUCAAUGAUUCUUUUCCUCGUUCUUUCAAUCAUCACCAAAGAAGAUUGGUGAGUUAUGCAUCGUCGAGUUCUUUUUUGAGAGAGUCAACUGACGCAACAGCUUGAAGCUCUCAUGGCUUAAAAUGGUAUAAAAACUGUGAUCAUCUUUUGCACCGCAACAGAUCAUAGCAGAUAUGCAACAUAUUUCUUAACUAACAUGGAGUACGAUGGAGUGAUGGACUCCACCACACAGAUCAAGAAGGAAGUUCUGCUAUUCAGGGGAGGACAAAGAAAAAACUCAAGGGAAUGUGAAGAAUUGUAUCUAUGUGUACCCCAUGGCAGUUUGUCCGCUUAGAAACACACAAGUUUUGAGAUUAUGUUUCUCAGGUCCUUCAAAAAUAUCUCUGGGUGUAUAUUGGAUCUCCAAAAGUUAUUCGUUCUUGAAGGUUCUGACAUGGGUGUGGUAAUAUUUUUGGUCCACAUGCACUAGAAGCAUGGGUCUUUAUACCUUACGCCUAGUAUCUGAUGGAUCCUAAAGGCUUCCUCGCUUAUCUCGGUCUCAAGGUUAAAAGGUAUUGUAUGUGCCUGUAGUGCACUAAUGGAUGCCAUCCUUUCGGCAGUUUAGAAGCAGUUCAGAAGCAUAUGGAAGCAAAACUCAUUGCAUAGUGCAUUAUGGUGAUGGUGGUCAUGAUGAAGAGGCUGAAUUAGAAGAGUUUAUGACCAUGUCAGCAGGUACCUCCUCUGGCUUUUGGGUGAUCCACCAGUGCAUCAUAUCUACAAGGAGCAAAAUAUCUUAGCAGAUAGAUUAGCAUGUAUGGUUUCGGCGACAAAUUUGGGUAGUGAAAAUACAACUUUUUGGAAUCCUUCUCCUCCAUUUUACUACAUGUUUUGUUGGACGACCAGGUAGGAAGGAUGCAAACAAGACAAAUAGAUUUGACAAUACACCCUUGUGGUGGACCCCUUCCUCAGACCCGGAACAUAGCGGGAAUUUUAGUGCACCGGGCUGCCCUUUAAGUGUGCAGGCAACUAGAGAAGCAACCACAAAUGACCAAGAGAUGUUAAUGGGGUCAAAUUUUGAAACACAUGCUCCUACUACCUCUACUAUAGCAAGUACUACUAAUAGUUGUGUGGUACCAACUGUUAGGCCACCCUCUUGCGUAUCUUUUAAGUUCUGUUGUAAGUUGUAACUAAUCUCUAAGUCCUUGUAGGUUCUAUUAUAUAUGUACAUCCAAUAUCUUUUCAUCACCCAGAAAAAAGACUAUUAUUACAGGGUCAUGGUUAAUCAUUGACACUAUUACCACUUGUUAGGAUUAUAGGUUUUUUAUUAUGUCAAAAGCUAUUAAGUGAUAACAUAUAUUUAACUUUAUUUCAUAGUCAAAUUCCUCAAGCAAUCACCGUACUUGAUCGUGACUUAGGUUGGAGCCAUUCCUUGAGGAGUUUGGAGCUGAAAGGGCACAUUUUUUAAGCAAAUAAAUCAUAAGAGCACUCCGAAUUUGGGACCAACCAAAAGGGCCAGUUUUUCUUUUCUAUUAUUAUAUUAUAUAGAAGAGGUGAUUUAGACCACGCAAUUAUCA